AGAGUUUGAUCCUGGCUCAGGAUGAACGCUAGCGGCAGGCUUAAUACAUGCAAGUCGAGGGGCAGCACAGAUAGCAAUAUUGGGUGGCGACCGGCAAACGGGUGCGUAACACGUACACAACUUUCCUUCAAGUGGGGCAUAGCCUAAAGAAAUUUGGAUUAAUACCCCGUAAUAUAUUGAGAUGGCAUCAUUUUAAUAUUAUAGGCGCAAGCCGCUUGAUGAUGGGUGUGCGGCUGAUUAGGUAGUUGGCGGGGUAACGGCCCACCAAGCCUUCGAUCAGUAGCUGAUGUGAGAGCAUGAUCAGCCACACGGGCACUGAGACACGGGCCCGACUCCUACGGGAGGCAGCAGUAAGGAAUAUUGGUCAAUGGGCGAAAGCCUGAACCAGCCAUGCCGCGUGGAGGAUGAAGGUCCUCUGGAUUGUAAACUUCUUUUAUUUGGGACGAAAAAAGGGAAUUCUUUCUCGCUUGACGGUACCAGAUGAAUAAGCACCGGCUAACUCCGUGCCAGCAGCCGCGGUAAUACGGAGGGUGCAAGCGUUAUCCGGAUUCACUGGGUUUAAAGGGUGCGUAGGCGGGCAGGUAAGUCAGUGGUGAAAUCUUUGGGCUUAACCCGAAAACUGCCAUUGAUACUAUCUGUCUUGAAUAUUGUGGAGGUUUGCGGAAUAUGUCAUGUAGCGGUGAAAUGCUUAGAUAUGACCCGGAACACCGAUUGCGAAGGCAGCCCGCUAAGCAAGUAUUGACGCUGAGGCACGAAAGCGUGGGGAUCAAACAGGAUUAGAUACCCUAGUAGUCC
rnacentral:rRNA from 1 species